GAUUAACGCUGGCGGCGUGCAUAACACAUGCAAGUCGAACGAUGAAACUUAAAUGAUUUCUUCGGAAUGAACUUAAGUGGAUUAGUGGCGGACGGGUGAGUAACGCGUGAGUAACCUGCCUUACACAAGGGGAUAGCCGUUGGAAACGACGAAUAAUACCCUAUGAAACUAUCACUUCGCAUGAAGCGAUAGUCAAAGUGUUAGCGGUGUAAGAUGGACUUGCGUCUGAUUAGCUAGUUGGUGAGAAAAAAGCCCACCAAGGCAACGAUCAGUAGCCGGCUUGAGAGAGUGUACGGCUACAUUGGGACUGAGACACGGCCCAGACUCCUACGGGAGGCAGCAGUGGGGAAUUUUGCACAAUGGGGGAAACCCUGAUGCAGCGACGCCGCGUGAUUUAGAAGGCCUUCGGGUUGUAAAAAUCUUUUGUAUAGGAAGAAAAUGACAGUACUAUACGAAUAAGGUCCGGCUAAUUACGUG
rnacentral:rRNA from 1 species